AGUCCCAUGGUCUAGUGGUUAGGACAUUUGACUUUGAAUCCAGUAACCCAAGUUCAAAUCUCGCUGAGACCU
rfam:Ipomoea nil DNA, scaffold: scaffold1401, cultivar: Tokyo-kokei standard.